GCUUUUUGCAUGUGCAGUAUAAGACUUCUUCACCCUGGUGAUGUGUAUAAAGUCCUCAAAGAGGCUCAGAACAACUCAUGCUGUGGAUGAGAAGGGGUGUCAUGGCUGGACAACGAACUGCGUGCCACUGUAGCGUACCACACACGAUAUUCUGGAGUUCCCUGCCACUGUUCCCUGUUCAGACAAGCCUCAAGUACUCGGACAAAGUAAUGGAGAGAGCGAAAACAUGGACUGACAGAGGACCUUCUGGCAGUCUGUUUUGCAAAGGAAGUAAACAAGACUACUUUUUAACAGACGAAGAAUGAAAAAUGUCUGUGAAGCUAAACUGGAAGAUGUAGAACCAACAGCUGUGAAAACUCUAACGGAGCAGUCAUUGCAUCAUGCCAGGAAACACCUCUGCCCAAAGACA